rnacentral:rRNA from 1 species
CACGUAGGCGGACCAUCAAGUUGGGGGUGAAAUCCCGGGCUCAACCCCGGAACUGCCUCCAAGACUGCUGGUCUGGAGGUCGAGAGAGGCGAGUGGAAUUCCGAGUGUAGAGGUGAAAUUCGUAGAUAUUCGGAGGAACACCAGUGGCGAAGGCGGCUCGCUGGCUCGAUACUGACGCUGAGGUGCGAAAGCGUGGGGAGCAAACA